rnacentral:rRNA from 1 species
UACCAGCUCUUCGAGUGGUGUGGAUGUUUAUUGGGCCUAAAGCAUCCGUAGCUGGCUGGGCAAGUCCCCUGUUAAAUCCACCGAUUUAAUCGUUGGAGUGCGGGAAAUACUGCCUGGCUAGAGAGUGGGAGAGGUGUACGGUAUUCUGGGGGUAGGGGCGAAAUCCUUUGAUCCCCGGAGGACCACCAGUGGCGAAGGCUGUACACUAGAACACGUCUGACGGUCAGGGACGAAAGCUGGGGUAGCGAACCGGAUUAGAUACCCGGGUAGUCCCAGCUGUAAACGAUGCAUGCUAGGUGUUGGGUUGGCCACGAGCCACCCCAGUGCCGCAGGGAAGCCGUUAAGCAUGCCGCCUGGGAAGUACGAUCGCAAGAUUGAAACUUAAAGGAAUUGGCGGGGGAGCACCACCAGGCGUGAAGCCUGCGGUUU